rnacentral:rRNA from 1 species
AACGUAGGAGACAAACGUUAUCCGGAGUUACUGGGCGUAAAGGGCGUGUAGGUGGUAUCGUAAGUCUGGCGUGAAAUUUCUCGGCUUAACCGAGGCAGGUCGUCGGAUACUGCGAGGCUAGAGGACGGUAGAGGCGUGUGGAAUUCCGGGUGUAGUGGUGAAAUGCGUAGAGAUCCGGAGGAACAUCAGUGGCGAAGGCGACACGCUGGGCCGUACCUGACGCUGAGGCGCGAAGGCGUGGGGAGCAAACAGGG